GGGGAUGUACUGGUUUCGACGGGGGUAGGUGUGGCAUGAUAAGCGAGCCGGGGUCCCAUCAGCCCGUGAUACGAUGGAACUUAAAUUAAACGCAAAAACUGAUUACGCUUUAGCAGCUUAAUGCUAACGUCCUACCUCUCCUCCUCCCAUGGGCGUGGAUAGAGCGACACUUAGUGGGAUACCCGAAGGCCAAUUCUCGGAGGCUUGCUGGGGAAACUUAUCGAGAUAGCAACUGAGUAGCCUGUCGUUAGGCGACAAAGAAGCGAAAUACCAAAAUAGCGACUGCGCUCGGAGAAAGUCAUGUUUCAUUGCUUUCGGACAGGGGUUCGACUCCCCUCAUCUCCACCA
rnacentral:tmRNA from 1 species